rnacentral:tRNA from 1 species
GCAUGGGUGGCUCAGUCGGUUAAGCCUCUGACUUCAGCUCAGGUGAAGAUCUCAAAGCUUGCGAGUUCGAGUCUCGCGUUGGGCU